AUUGAACGCUGGCGGCAUGCCUUACACAUGCAAGUCGAACGGUAACGGGCCUUCGGGUGCCGACGAGUGGCGAACGGGUGAGUAAUGCAUCGGAACGUACCUUUCAGUGGGGGAUAACGUAGCGAAAGUUACGCUAAUACCGCAUAUUCUGUGAGCAGGAAAGCAGGGGAUCGCAAGACCCUGCGCUGAUUGAGCGGCCGAUGUCAGAUUAGCUAGUUGGUGAGGUAAAGGCUCACCAAGGCGACGAUCUGUAGCGGGUCUGAGAGGAUGAUCCGCCACACUGGGACUGAGACACGGCCCAGACUCCUACGGGAGGCAGCAGUGGGGAAUUUUGGACAAUGGGGGCAACCCUGAUCCAGCCAUGCCGCGUGAGUGAAGAAGGCCUUCGGGUUGUAAAGCUCUUUCGGCCGGGAAGAAAUCGCACAGGCUAAUACCUUGUGUGGAUGACGGUACCGGAAUAAGAAGCACCGGCUAACUACGUGCCAGCCGCCGCGGUAAGAC
rnacentral:rRNA from 1 species